UACGUAGGGAGCAAGCGUUGUCCGGAAUCAUUGGGCGUAAAGCGCGCGUAGGCGGCCCGAUAAGUCCGCUGUAAAAGUCAACGGCUCAACCGGGGAGGGUCGUUUGGGGACGGCGGGGCUUGAGGGCGGGAGAGGGUGGUGGAAUUCCCGGUGUAGUGGUGAAAUGCGUAGAGAUCGGGAGGAACACCCGUGGCGAAGGCGGCCACCUGGGCCGACCCUGACGCUGAGGCGCGAAGGCGUGGGGAGCGAACGGG
rnacentral:rRNA from 1 species